rnacentral:rRNA from 1 species
UACGUAGGGUGCAAGCGUUAAUCGGAAUUACUGGGCGUAAAGCGUGCGCAGGCGGUUUUGUAAGUCUGAUGUGAAAUCCCCGGGCUCAACCUGGGAAUUGCAUUGGAGACUGCAAGGCUAGAAUCUGGCAGAGGGGGGUAGAAUUCCACGUGUAGCAGUGAAAUGCGUAGAUAUGUGGAGGAACACCGAUGGCGAAGGCAGCCCCCUGGGUCAAGAUUGACGCUCAUGCA